UAGUCCACGCCGUAAACGAUGAGUGCUAGAUGUCGAGGGACUUGUCCUUCGGUGUCGGAGCUAACGUAUUAAGCACUCCGCCUGGGGAGUACGGCCGCAAGGUUAAAACUCAAAGGAAUUGACGGGGCCCGCACAAGCGGUGGAGCAUGUGGUUUAAUUCGACGCAACGCGCAGAACCUUACCAGCCCUUGACAUGCCCGUUUUGGCAUUUGGAGACAGAUGCUAUCAGUUCGGCUGGACGGGACACAGGUGCUGCAUGGCUGUCGUCAGCUCGUGUCGUGAGAUGUUGGGUUAAGUCCCGCAACGAGCGCAACCCUCAUCUUCAGUUGCCAUUGGUUCGGCCGGGCACUCUGGAGAAACUGCCGGUGACAGCCGGAGGAAGGUGGGGGAUGACGUCAAGUCCUCAUGGGCCCUUACGGGGCUGGGGCUACACACGUGCUACAAUGGCAGUGAC
rnacentral:rRNA from 1 species